GGAUGGGGUACCAGCAUCGAGAAGUGUCUCAUGCUGCCCAGGGGAGUGGAUGGCAGCAGACUGUUCUUGAGGAGGCCUUCUUCCAGUUUCUGCCCUGCUCCUGCUUUCUUACCUGAGUAUACCCAGUUACAGAUGAGCCUCUCCUGGAUUGGAAUGAUGCUUUUAUCUGGAUAUGACCAACACUUUGGAAUAGUUUGGGAUCUCUUGUAUGAACCCCACCUGAGUCAACACAGGACCGACCUCUGCUUCUGCAUCUCAAGCUCCCCACCUUCAGAACAGCAACUGCAGAGAAAACAACAGGCGGGGUGUUUCAAUUUCAAGUCUGAAA